GCACGACAAAGCAGCACCUGGCAACUGAUGGCUGCACUGGCUGCUCAUUAUGAGUCAUUGUUGGCGGGGGAUUGUUUGUUUUUGUUGGGGUUUUUUUUGUUUGGUUUGGUUUUUUCCAUCUUAAAUGGGCGUGCAUGUUGCUACUACAACAGCAUUGUGUGUUGCACAUCAUCUUCAAGUCAGCAUCCCAGAUGGUUUUCUACUUCUCUAAAGGACAAUCUGCUCCAAAAGUACAACCUUUGGUCCAGUACAACUACUUAACUCCGUAGUUCCGAUGAUGAGCUCUGACACUGCAGGAUCUUUUUCCUGAGAUGUACAUGCAAAGCUGGAUGGAAAAACUAAAAUGACCAAGCUGGUAUUGCUGUGGCCUGCACUGAGCCAGACUCUGCUUCAUUCUGCCCUAGGAAUAUUUUUAAAACUCUGCAAUUGAAAUGUUGAGCCCGUUCCUCCCAUCACCCGCCCUAGAAGUUCGUCAAGAUGCCUAUGUCUUCAAUCCAUCAAUUCCAGGUGAACAGUGCAGAGUGUACAGCAGAAACACUGAACGCUCGCAGGGAGCAUAACUUCAGCCGGGACCGCACCACAUUUGGCACUGUGCAAACCCAUGGCAAUAGAAACCAUCCUCCAAAGGUCUUCAGAGUCCCUCAUGCAUAUGGAAAAGAAGUGGGGCACAAAGAGCUGAAGCAAUUUAAUCAAGGUUGCAGAAAACACACAGUUCAUUUUACAGAUCCUAACAGCAAGUUGAAUAUUUAAAUUUAAAGGGCAGUUAAUCCUUUUGAAAACAGUGUGACACACCAAUUCAGGGAUUAAUUAAAAGUAAUUCAGCUUUACCGAAAGGGGAAAAAAAUCCCCUACCUAGAGAGAACGUCCCUACAGACAUAACAAGCUUUGCAGACAUUUUGUACCAACCCCAUCACUGGUAUAAUCCCACACAAGUAACCUCAGGGAGUCUGCAAUAGCAUCAGAAAUACUGUGAAGAUGGCCAGCACACCACACAACUCCUCAGGUGAGCACAUCAGUAACAUCCCAAAGCAUUUAGUGGUGUUAUUAAACACAGAGAACCACUUGACAGAGGAUGUCACUAUCGUGGGAUUGGUCUACAUCACAACAUCAGCUCACGCCUGGCAAGCACCAACAAUCUCAUGGGAAUUCUGGUAAUAGGUGGUUGGAGUAAUGAAGCAGACAGGGACUGUCCCAGAAAACACAGUUUUCUGAGACCAACUGGUGCAAGUUUGUGAGAAACUGAGAAGAGAAACUGAAGGCGUCAGGAAAGAAAGGUACUGACCUCGAAAAGCAGCCCAGAUCCCACCAGCGCAGCCUUUCAAAACCAGUGGUGGUAUCUUCACACCCGAAGAAACCCUGAAGUUCACAACACUAUCAGAUCACAGCAGCAGCAAAGACUUUCAUCAAAACCUUUAUAACGUAAUGUCUGGGCUGUAUCAUGUCAAAUAAGCAGAAUAAUCUUAUUUAUUGAUUCAUAUUUUUCUUUUUUUUCUGGUUUAGAUCCCAAUACUUUUUUCCUUCAUGCACUUUGAUUCGGGCUUUUUUCCCCAGGCAGCAUGGUCAAAACCAAUGUAACAAAGUAUAAACUGAAUGAAGUGAAAAAAAUACUCAGUAAUUAUGUCACAAUGAAAACACAUGAAUGUUGAAAUUACUUCUCCACAUGCUGAAGGAAAAUCAGCAUAUGGUGCCCAACUUUGACACAUCUUCACCUUCCGCAGUGCCUUCUUCCUUGUGUUAUUUUUGUGAUGGUGCUCAUGAAAAAGAUCACAGCAGCACUUAACACAAUAUAAAACUCAAAACAUGAUAUGACUUUAAAUUUUAAUAAAGGAACACUUUUUAUUUAGAGCUAACUCAUUGCCUUGAUAUAUUGUGAAUUCCCCUAUUAGUAAACUCGUGGUGGCCACUUUCCCAAAAGGAUGUUGUGUGACCAACAGAGACAGUCCCAGAAAGAUUCAGCUGCAGACUCAGGACGUUAAUUGGAAGCCCAUCAAGAUUAUGGAUAUCACAUUAUGGCAGUAUUCCAGUCUUAGAUGAUCAUAGAAAUAAGAGUGAAGGGUCGUUCUUGUGCUGAACCUACAAAGUAUGUAAAAAUAGACCCCACUGAGCAUCUGGAACAGGAAAGCAAGGACUGCAACACAUGCACACCACUGGUACAUACCAGUGUAAUUAAUAUGAAGCUCACUUUCCUGUCAUACUUACUCCAAGAAAUAUUCUUGAAGAAAGCCUAAUUUCUUAAGGCUCUUCUUCAGUAAAACAGGUUUUUAGUUAAAUGGUUGAGCUUCAAUAACUAAAGGUAUAGAAUUGCUUCAGUAUUUUGUCGAAUUGAGAACGAAGUUGUAUGAUGGGUCCCGAUGGCGCUAACAGAUACACACUGGACAUGUAACCCCAUGUACACAACAAAGUAUUAAUAAUACUUUUCCAGGUCACCUGGUGUCCUCUGUACACUUGGUCCUGAGCUACCCCAGCGGUUUUAGGCUGGCUGGAGCUAUUUCAGCCCCUCCAAAGGGCACCCAUCCCUGGGGCAGCACAAAGCAGCUGUUCGAUAGCACGUCAACACCUCUCUGGGAGAGGGAACGAAGGAAAAUACCACAUCCAUUGAUAUUUAAUUGGAAAAAAUGCACACGUGGUUUAGGAACAGAGCAAGGCGGAGACGACGUUUCAACAGAAAUGCUGUGCAAACA